rnacentral:RNase_P_RNA from 1 species
GGCAGAGGGAGUCCGGCCACCGUGCCCCGGACCGCACCGCGCAAGGGGCAUGAGGAAAGUCCCCCCACCGUCCGGGCAGGUGACCGGGCGCAAGCCCGGAGCGGGAGACCGCUGGCUCUGGAACAGAAACGACACCCCUCCGCGCGAGCGAUGAGGCGUGCGAACCCCGACCGUAAGGGAGGGGGAGUUGACCAGCCGAGCGUAGCGGGGUUCGCGAGAACCCCGGACGGCGAACGGCACAGCCGUGAGCCGGGCGGCGACCCAGUCGCCACAGGACCGCGGAGAACGGAUGGAACGGCGAAUCCUCACCGGUGCAAGCCCGCGUCGUCAGGUAGCCCGGACACCGCCGGAUUCGGCGACCUGGCGCGGGCGCGUAGCCGAAUGCCGGACCGAACAGAAGGGGGCUUACUCCCCUCAGCC